GUGAGGAAUAUUGGUCAAUGGGCGGAAGCCUGAACCAGCCAAGUAGCGUGCAGGACGACGGCCCUAUGGGUUGUAAACUGCUUUUAUACGGGGAUAAAGUGCGCCACGUGUGGAGCAUUGCAGGUACCGUAUGAAUAAGGACCGGCUAAUUCCGUGCCAGCAGCCGCGGUAAUACGGAAGGUCCGGGCGUUAUCCGGAUUUAUUGGGUUUAAAGGGAGCGCAGGCCGGAAGCAAAGCGUGCCGUGAAAUGUAGAAGCUCAACAUCUGAAUUGCGGCGCGAACUGGUUUUCUUGAGUGCAUACGAGGUAGGCGGAAUUUGUGGUGUAGCGGUGAAAUGCUUAGAUAUCACGAAGAACUCCGAUUGCGAAGGCAGCCUACCAGGAUGUAACUGACGCUAAAGCUCGAAAGUGCGGGUAUCGAACAGGAUUAGAAACCCGGGUAGUCC
rnacentral:rRNA from 1 species